GACGAACGCUGGCGGCGUGCUUAACACAUGCAAGUCGAACGGAAAGGCCCUGCUUUUGUGGGGUGCUCGAGUGGCGAACGGGUGAGUAACACGUGAGUAACCUGCCCUUGACUUUGGGAUAACUUCAGGAAACUGGGGCUAAUACCGGAUAGGAGCUCCUGCUGCAUGGUGGGGGUUGGAAAGUUUCGGCGGUUGGGGAUGGACUCGCGGCUUAUCAGCUUGUUGGUGGGGUAGUGGCUUACCAAGGCUUUGACGGGUAGCCGGCCUGAGAGGGUGACCGGCCACAUUGGGACUGAGAUACGGCCCAGACUCCUACGGGAGGCAGCAGUGGGGAAUAUUGCACAAUGGGCGGAAGCCUGAUGCAGCAACGCCGCGUGCGGGAUGACGGCCUUCGGGUUGUAAACCGCUUUCGCCUGUGACGAAGCGUGAGUGACGGUAAUGGGUAAAGAAGCACCGGCUAACUACGUGCCAGCAGCCGCGGUGAUACGUAGGGUGCGAGCGUUGUCCGGAUUUAUUGGGCGUAAAGGGCUCGUAGGUGGUUGAUCGCGUCGGAAGUGUAAUCUUGGGGCUCAACCCUGAGCGUGCUUUCGAUACGGGUUGACUUGAGGAAGGUAGGGGAGAAUGGAAUUCCUGGUGGAGCGGUGGAAUGCGCAGAUAUCAGGAGGAACACCAGUGGCGAAGGCGGUUCUCUGGGCCUUUCCUGACGCUGAGGAGCGAAAGCGUGGGGAGCGAACAGGCUUAGAUACCCUGGUAGUCCACGCUGUAAACGGUGGGUACUAGGUGUGGGGUCCAUUCCACGGGUUCCGUGCCGUAGCUAACGCUUUAAGUACCCCGCCUGGGGAGUACGGCCGCAAGGCUAAAACUCAAAGGAAUUGACGGGGCCCCGCACAAGCGGCGGAGCAUGCGGAUUAAUUCGAUGCAACGCGUAGAACCUUACCUGGGUUUGACAUGGAUCGGGAGUGCUCAGAGAUGGGUGUGCCUCUUUUGGGGUCGGUUCACAGGUGGUGCAUGGCUGUCGUCAGCUCGUGUCGUGAGAUGUUGGGUUAAGUCCCGCAACGAGCGCAACCCUUGUUCACUGUUGCCAGCACGUUAUGGUGGGGACUCAGUGGAGACCGCCGGGGUCAACUCGGAGGAAGGUGGGGAUGACGUCAAGUCAUCAUGCCCCUUAUGUCCAGGGCUUCACGCAUGCUACAAUGGCUGGUACAGAGAGUGGCGAGCCUGUGAGGGUGAGCGAAUCUCGGAAAGCCGGUCUCAGUUCGGAUUGGGGUCUGCAACUCGACCUCAUGAAGUCGGAGUCGCUAGUAAUCGCAGAUCAGCAACGCUGCGGUGAAUACGUUCCCGGGGCUUGUACACACCGCCCGUCAAGUCAUGAAAGUUGGUAACACCCGAAGCCGGUGGCCUAACCGUUGUGGGGGAGCCGUCGAAGGUGGGACUGGUGAUUAGGACU
rnacentral:rRNA from 1 species